rnacentral:tRNA from 1 species
AAAGCCUUAAGUUAAAUUAAACUAUUAACCUUCAAAGUUAAAAAUAUAAAUAUUUAUAAGCUUUA